CCUACGGGCGGCAGCAGUGAGGAAUAUUGGUCAAUGGACGAGAGUCUGAACCAGCCAAGUAGCGUGAAGGAUGACUGCCCUAUGGGUUGUAAACUUCUUUUAUAUCGGAAUAAAAUGUUCCACGUGUGGGAUUUUGUAUGUACCAUAUGAAUAAGGAUCGGCUAACUCCGUGCCAGCAGCCGCGGUAAUACGGAGGAUCCGAGCGUUAUCCGGAUUUAUUGGGUUUAAAGGGAGCGUAGGUGGAUUGUUAAGUCAGUUGUGAAAGUUUGCGGCUCAACCGUAAAAUUGCAGUUGAAACUGGCAGUCUUGAGUACAGUAGAGGUGGGCGGAAUUCGUGGUGUAGCGGUGAAAUGCUUAGAUAUCACGAAGAACUCCGAUUGCGAAGGCAGUUCACUGGACUGCAACUGACACUGAGGCUCGAAAGUGUGGGUAUCAAACAGGAUUAGAUACCCCAGUAGUC
rnacentral:rRNA from 1 species